rnacentral:misc_RNA from 1 species
CACAAAUAUGAAAGCAGACCCUCAUUGGGGCGUAACGUCACGCCGUGUCCGCAAUAGCGUCAUUGCUGUUGUGCUGACGCGGCGGGGGGGUAACGCCCUUUUGGGCCAGUCUGACUCCAUAUUCACCCAUGUCUUUUGCAUACUACUUGUUUCCUUGGCGGGUUCGCCCGCCAAUUGGACCCCAAUUAAACCUUUUUUGUAAUUGCAAUCAGCGUCAGCAAAACAAUGUAAUAAAUUACAACUUUCAACAACGGACUCUCUUGGUUCUGGCAUCGAUGAAGAACGCAGCGAAAUGCGAUAAGUAGUGUGAAUUGCAGAAUUCAGUGAAUCAUCGAAUCUUUGAACGCACAUUGCGCCCUUUGGUAUUCCAAAGGGCAUGCCUGUUCGAGCGUCAUUUGUACCCUCAAGCUUUGCUUGGUGUUGGGCGUUUUUGUCUCGGGUCCGCCCCGAGACUCGCCUUAAAAUCAUUGGCAGCCGGCCUACUGGUUUCGGAGCGCAGCACAUUUUUGCGCUUUGUCCAGUCGUGGUCUUGCGUCCAUGAAGCGAAUAUUUUCAACGUUUGACCUCGGAUCAGGUAGGGAUACCCGCUGAACUUAAGCAUAUCAAUAAGCGGAGGAAUCGUAGCCUUGGUCAUUUAGAGGAAGUAAAAGUCGUAACAAGGCCUCCGUUGGCGAACCAGCGGAGGGAUCAUUACCGAGUUUACAACUCCCAAACCCAAUGUGAACGUUACCAAACUGUUGCCUCGGCGGGAUCUCUGCCCCGGGUGCGUCGCAGCCCCGGACCAAGGCGCCCGCCGGAGGACCAACCAAAACUCUUAUUGUAUACCCCCUCGCGGGUUUUUUUUAUAAUCUGAGCCUUCUCGGCGCCUCUCGUAGGCGUUUCGAAAAUGAAUCA